rnacentral:siRNA from 1 species
ACAUUCUGUCCCAAAAUGUAGAUG